GUUGUAUGGUUAAGUGACUAAGCGUACACGGUGGAUGCCUGGGCAGUCAGAGGCGAUGAAGGACGUACUAACUUGCGAUAAGCGCAGAUAAGGCAGUAAGAGCCGUUUGAGUCUGCGAUUUCCGAAUGGGGAAACCCAACUGCAUAAGCAGUUACUGUUAACUGAAUACAUAGGUUAACAGAGCAAACCGGGGGAACUGAAACAUCUAAGUACCCCGAGGAGAAGAAAUCAACCGAGAUUCCGGUAGUAGCGGCGAGCGAACCUGGAUUAGCCCUUAAGCACUCGGUGAAGUAGGUGAACAAGCUGGAAAGCUUGGCGAUACAGGGUGAUAGCCCCGUAACCGACGCUUCAUCGAGCGUGAAAUCGAGUAGGGCGGGACACGUGAUAUCCUGUCUGAAUAUGGGGGGACCAUCCUCCAAGGCUAAAUACUCCUGACUGACCGAUAGUGAACCAGUACCGUGAGGGAAAGGCGAAAAGAACCCCUGUGAGGGGAGUGAAAUAGAACCUGAAACCGUGUACGUACAAGCAGUAGGAGCACCUUCGUGGUGUGACUGCGUACCUUUUGUAUAAUGGGUCAGCGACUUAUAUUCAGUGGCAAGGUUAACCGUAUAGGGGAGCCGUAGCGAAAGCGAGUCUUAACUGGGCGCUCAGUCUCUGGAUAUAGACCCGAAACCGGGUGAUCUAGCCAUGGGCAGGUUGAAGGUUGAGUAACAUCAACUGGAGGACCGAACCGACUAAUGUUGAAAAAUUAGCGGAUGACUUGUGGCUAGGGGUGAAAGGCCAAUCAAACUCGGAGAUAGCUGGUUCUCCCCGAAAGCUAUUUAGGUAGCGCCUCGGACGAAUACUACUGGGGGUAGAGCACUGUUAAGGCUAGGGGGUCAUCCCGACUUACCAACCCUUUGCAAACUCCGAAUACCAGUAAGUACUAUCCGGGAGACACACGGCGGGUGCUAACGUCCGUCGUGGAGAGGGAAACAACCCAGACCGCCAGCUAAGGUCCCAAAGUAUUGCUAAGUGGGAAACGAUGUGGGAAGGCUCAGACAGCUAGGAUGUUGGCUUAGAAGCAGCCAUCAUUUAAAGAAAGCGUAAUAGCUCACUAGUCGAGUCGGCCUGCGCGGAAGAUGUAACGGGGCUAAGCA
rnacentral:rRNA from 1 species